ACAUACGCGUAGAGUUUGAUCCUGGCUCAGAGCGAACGCUGGCGGCAGGCCUAACACAUGCAAGUCUAACGGGUCCUUCGGGAUCAGUGGCGGACGGGUGAGUAACACGUGGGAACGUGCCCAAAGGUACGGAACAACUCAGAGAAACUUGAGCUAAUACCGUAUGUGCCCUACGGGGGAAAGAUUUAUCGCCUUUGGAGCGGCCCGCGUCUGAUUAGCUAGUUGGUGAGGUAAAGGCUCACCAAGGCGACGAUCAGUAGCUGGUCUGAGAGGAUGAUCAGCCACAUUGGGACUGAGACACGGCCCAAACUCCUACGGGAGGCAGCAGUGGGGAAAUCUUGCGCAAAUGGGCGAAAAGCCUGACGCGGC
rnacentral:rRNA from 1 species